rnacentral:rRNA from 1 species
AGUGAACGCUGGCGGUAGGCCUAACACAUGCAAGUCGAACGGCAGCACAGGAGAGCUUGCUCUCUGGGUGGCGAGUGGCGGACGGGUGAGGAAUACAUCGGAAUCUACCUUUUCGUGGGGGAUAACGUAGGGAAACUUACGCUAAUACCGCAUACGACCUUCGGGUGAAAGCAGGGGACCGUCGGGCCUUGCGCGGAUAGAUGAGCCGAUGUCGGAUUAGCUAGUUGGCGGGGUAAAGGACCACCAAGGCGACGAUCCGUAGCUGGUCUGAGAUGGUGAUCAGCAACACUGGAAAUGAGACAGGGUCCAGACGCCUACGGGAGGCAGCAGUGGGGAAUAUUGGACAAUGGGCGCAAGCCUGAUCCAGCCAUACCGCGUGGGUGAAGAUGACCGUCGGGUUGUAAAGCCCUUUUGUUGAGAAAGAAAAGCAGCCAGUUAAUACCUGGUUGUUCUGACGGUACCCAAAGAAUAAGCACCGGCUAACUUCGUGCCAGCAGCCGCCGUAA